GGUAUGCAUGAUACUGAGGUAUUAUUCUUAGAUAAAACAUUUCUUGUUUCAUUACAAACAUAUUUGUUCAACUAGGAAUUUUCUGAGGAUGAGAGGGCAUGAAGACACCAUGGAGUGGCAGUUACAGAUUAUGCAACACAACAAGCAACAGGAUUCCAGCAGUUGCGGAGUUUUGCUGUUAAAGUUUGCAGAACACUACCUUGCUUUUGGAGAGGUCAGUGAAGUAUUAACCACUACAGAAGCAGUUGUACUGGAGCGAAUGCAGAUAGCUUGCACCCUACUUGAACAUCGAGGGAACGCUGAGGAUUACUGCAUUGUUUGCUCUAUGUUAGAUGCUGAUGCUGACCGCAGCAUGAUUGAAAUGGUGCAGUGUGAGUCUUGCCAAAGAUGGGCACAUUUUGCAUGUGCAAAAUAUAAAGAAAGCAACCAAGAAUGUAAAUGCAAAAAAUGUGAG